AUUGGUUGAAAACACAACUUAUUUUUUGAAGACCAACUUUUGAAGACCAACUUUUGAAGACCAACUUUUGAUACCCAACCGCAAUCCAAUGUCUUUGUUGUUCGCGGGCUCAUUUAUUAUGUUUUCAAAAUGGAGGAAGAAGACAAACAAUACUUGCUACAGGCGAUUUUUGAUGUGAUAAAUUCCAUCGACCGUUUUUCACAGUCUCGAGACGCUAAUGUAGACUACAUAAGAGCUUAUGCUGAAAUUUGAUUUUUUACAACGGUUGCUAGUAAAUAUGAAUCUUGAUUAUUCGAUAUGUGCAAACGUUGGAGAGGCAUAUAACAUUCUUUUCAAUAUGGAACAAAUGGAAUACCAAUGCAGACAAUAGGAUAUCCGAAGGGGGUAGGGGAGUUAACUUCUAAUUUCCUCCGUGAGGGUGGUAUGGAUGUUUUCUGGAAUGACCCAUUGGUAAACAGAGAAAAACAGGAUAAUGUAUUGUCCUAGAACAUAGAUAUCCUAAUAUAUUACACACAGUCAGGUUUUAGCAGCGCCGUAGCAAGCUCGAUAAUUGGGGAGGGGGGGGGGCUGAUAUUCAUAUAUUUGUGUUCACAGACCAUAAAAACAAUUGAUUUCUAAAGAAAUAAUAACACAGAACAUGAAUAUAUGAAUAUCAGCCCCCCCCCAAUUAGGGAACUUUAGAUUUGACUACGAGUACGAC